AGGAUGAACGCUAGCGGCAGGCUUAAUACAUGCAAGUCGAGGGGCAGCAGGUCUGUAGCAAUACAGAUGCUGGCGACCGGCAAACGGGUGCGGAACACGUACGCAACCUUUCCUUUAAGUGGGGGAUAGCCCAGGGAAACUUGGAUUAAUACCUCGUAAUAUUAUGAAAUGGCAUCUAUUUUUAUAAUUAUAGCUCAGGCGUCUUAAAGAUGGGCGUGCGACUGAUUAGGUAGUUGGCGGGGUAACCGGCCCACCAAGCCUACGAUCAAGUAACUGGGUGUGAGA
rnacentral:rRNA from 1 species